rnacentral:rRNA from 1 species
GACGAACGCUGGCGGCGUGCUUAACACAUGCAAGUCGAGCGGUAAGGCCCUUUCGGGGGUACACGAGCGGCGAACGGGUGAGUAACACGUGGGUGACCUGCCCUCAGCUCUGGGAUAAGCCUGGGAAACCGGGUCUAAUACUGGAUAUGACUCCAUGACGCAUGUUGUGGAGUGGAAAGCCUUGUGCGGCUGAGGAUGGGCCCGCGGCCUAUCAGCUUGUUGGUGGGGUGAUGGCCUACCAAGGCGACGACGGGUAGCCGGCCUGAGAGGGCGACCGGCCACACUGGGACUGAGACACGGCCCAGACUCCUACGGGAGGCAGCAGUGGGGAAUCUUGCGCAAUGGCCGCAAGGCUGACGCAGCGACGCCGCGUGUGGGAUGACGGCCU